AAUGUGUGUGAGGUUGAGUGAGUCUCGAUGACGACCCUUCCGAGGGAUACGAAGAUUUACCCUUCCGAGGGAUAUGAAGACUAGUGCCAGAGCUCAUCUGGUAGUUAUCAGGCUCAUCUGGUAGUUCCCGGGUUACGUCCGGGCGUGAUCUAUAAUCCCCAGUCCUGCUAUCUGCCGGGUUGUCCUCGUGCGGGGGCCUGGGGUGAUCAUGGUUGUAGAAGGCCCUCAGGGGUAACACGAAGGCCGAUCAUAUGUCCGGGUCCUGUAUUCUGGUGAGUUAGUCCUCAUUGGGGGACUGGGACGAUCGUGUAACUUGGCUCCUCAAUUGUCUUAUCUCUUAGUGAGAACCUUCACUAGGGGGUAAGGACGCGUCCAUACGCCUCAUGGAAGUGGUUACGACUCUAUCCGAUGUCUCCUCCAUGUUACGAAGAGUAGCGGUUAGUGUCACCUCUCGUAGUGGAGGUGAUGCCGUAUCCGUGAUGUACUUGGACUAGGAUUCUAAGGUAGUUGUCUCAAGGCUUACUUCUAACUGGAGUAGAACUCUAAGUGAUAAGUCUCCGACCCACGGUUGGUCUUAUCCCCAAGAGGCCUAGUCCUGAUCAAACUAGGAGUCUUGGUUCUAUAGAACUACGUACGGCUUGAUCCCCUAUAUAAAGGGGUACGUAGGCACAUCAAGGGGAUAUAUCGAGAGUUGUGAGAACGAGAGCAGAAAUAUAUUCCCUUGAUCUCAGCCACCCUCAAACAAACAACCACCACUCUCCGGCGACCAAAACCACCGUCACGGAUCUUGAUUCCGGCCAUGAACCUCAUCUUUGUUGAUUACCAAAUUCCUCUAUCAACAUAAGUGUAUCUCGCUAGAUAGUGAGCUACCCUAUUCGCGGAUCGUUUAACAAAUCUAAACAAUACGUUUUGACCUUUUAAAUCGGCAAGUAAUUUCCUGCACUCAUCAAAUCACUCUUCCCAGGUAAGAGAAAUUAUUGAAUGAGCUACGGAUUGCUUGCACGACCUGCAGAUAGUCUGUUUCCACUUCCACAUUUGAGUGCAUCUGUUCUUAAAUCCAACUUAAGGCUCCUCGUAUACCAAUAGCUUCAGCUAGCUCCGGAGAAAUCUGCCCUUGCACACAUUUUGCUUCUGCUACUACUAGAUCACCCGCAUGAUUACGAACUACAAAAGCAUGGCUGUAGCAGUUGGAAUCAUUGAAAAUGGCUGCAUCAGUGUUAAUCUUAACGCUAUCAGACGGUGGUGGUUGCCAGUGCUCGUGACCAUCUUCAUAAGUCAUACAACUCAUAAAGCGAUCAAAUGUUUUGUCCUGCACAUUCUUCCAUUGGUUAAGAACAGAAUACGCUGAUUCUACCACUCCAGUUGCUUCCAAACUACGCUGGUUCCAUACUAAGUCGUUCCUGGCUUUCCACAACAUCCAACAUACCAUAACUGUUAUGUGAACAUCGUUGCUACUCCUUUGCUGAAAGACUAGCUGUAGCAUGCUCAUUAAUUAUGCAGACCUGUGUAAUUGAUGAUUACUUUUUCUGCUGCGAUUGACUUAUCACCCCUUUUAACCUUAUCUUUCAAUUUCAAAUUUCAAAUUUCAUUGUUAUGUUAUUGUUCUACUUCUCCCCUGGAAACCCUCUUCCCAUUGUCCUCUUUCCUCAAUCAGCUUCUUCUUAAUAAACGAAGCCUCUGUGUAAUGGAUCAGCGGAACAAGAUUUCCGAAUCUGAUGGGUUGUACCAUGGCCGGAGGUCUGAUGAUUUUAGUUUGGAUUCCUCUCUGCACUCUGGUGAAUGCUUUGCCUGUUUAUUAAGUCUGAUUUUGAUUAUGAUUUUGUAUUUUCAGGCGUUUGAUUUAGUUCUUUGUAUUGACGAUGAGGUGAAUUUGGAUUUAAAAACUCAAUAAAAUGCUGAGCAACUACUCCUCAAUGGAAGGUGUGUUGUACUGCAAGCCACACUUUGAGCAGCUGUACAAGGAAUCGGGAAACUUCAACAAGAACUUUCUGUCACGUAUAAUUUUGCUGCAGCUGCAAAGUCAGCUGAUCAGUUAACUCCAGUGCUGACAAAGUCACCUAGCAAAGCUACUGGCAUGUUUUCUGGCACACAAGAUAAAUGUGCUACUUGCGGUAAAACAGCUUAUCCACUAGAGAAGGUAUGUAACUUCUUCAAGAACAUAAGAUAUUAUUACACUUUGCUGAUUAAGUUAAAGUUACUUUUUCUACUUCUCAAAGACUGACUGAUAUCUGCAUCUUAGUAUGUAUAGUAUUUUGCAACGGGUGGUGCACAGAUUCUCAUAACCAUUUGUAUUUUUUUGGAGUUUCAUGACAAACAUCAGUCUAACUUUUACUAUAUACUACUCCCUCUGUUUGGAUAUAAUAGUCGUUUGACUUUUUUGCACGUACUUUUAAAAGCUUUGACCGCACUCUAAAAAUUAUUAUUUUUAAAUUUUUUCUUUUGUGAAUAAAAAUAUAUCACUAAUAUUUUUAUUUACAAAAAGAAAAUUUUAAAAAUAAUAAUUUUGGAUGUGCGGUCAAAACUCUUAAAUAUACGUGCAAAAAAGUCAAAAGACUAAUAUAUCCAAACAGAGGGAGUACUAUUUGUUUGUGUGAAAUUUUGCAAUGUCCGACUCAAGUGUUCACUGACUUUUGUGUUGAAGGAGUGAUUUGUGAUUUACAAUGUGAUUACUAACCGGAAAGGGUUAGACUGGGGAAGAGGGAGGUAUUUUUGUCAGUUGUCGAACAACUUUUGGUUUAAAGCCAAUUCAAGAGUCCAAAGAGCAUAUCAUUUUUCACUGUGAGUUUGUGAUAUUCUUCUUAAAGCAGCAUCAUAUUCGGAGACAUCUCUUUUAAUAUUAUAUCACUCUGUCAUUUUGUUUACGGAGGGGAUUUGGUUGUAUACCGACUCUUAUUAUGCUCAGUCUGAGUAUCUUAUGGUUAGAGUUCAUUCAAAUGCUACCUGGAUCUAACAAUCUAUGUUGGGAUAUAGGUUAUGUAUUCACAAUGCUAGAUGUGGCUUUCUUCCAUAGAAAUUAAAGUUCUAAAGCUUCCAUAGAUGUGGCCUUCUUCGCGAGUUCGUGACCUACCUCCAGAGCAGUUCUGUAGACAUAAUUUGUUUUAGGAAAAGCUUCUGAAGCAGGAUUCGCGAAUGAAAUGUACAAGAUCCUGACGGCUGCUGCACUCAGUAUAAUGUUGGACCGGUCACUGAUUAUUGGGAAACCAGGCAAUUGGUGCUCUCUCAAGCCUUUACAUAUGUUUAUCCAUUAAUUUCACUUGAAUGAUGAACAAAAGUAAAACCACCGAUCUUCCAAUUUAAUUCUGUAAGGCAGUUGAUAUUGCUGCAUGCUUCUCUGGUUCAUAGUGUUCCUCAAUUUAAUUCUUGGUUGAUAAACAAGACUGUGCAUGCAUUUGUGAUCAUAAUAUAAAAUUCACUAUGAGAAACAUUUGAUCCAAUAUAUAAGUUUAUUCCACCUUUAGUGAGUUAAAUACCAAAGAUGAAUUUAUUAUAACUUUGUGACAGCUACAUAUACUAUUGAAACAUAUCGUUUACCUUGAACGAAGUUAAGCAUCUUUGGAGACAAAAUGGUUGUGCUAGACAUUUGUUAAUGAGGAUUGAUGAUUUUCAGAAGCCAGCACUGACAAGUGUUCUUUGUAGCAACUGGAAGGAGUGGGAGGAACCAAUAAUAUGGCUCCAAAAUACCACAGAUUCUGUAGCAGCUCAAUUUUUUUUAAAAAAAUAUCAACAUCAAGAUGAGGGAAGUUGCAAUGAAUCUAUUUGGAAAGCCGGAUGAUUUUCAUGAUAGGCCCAACGUGUUUGGAGAACUCAUGAGAGUCCUCAUAUCUCCCUUAGAAAAUGGAAAGGAUCCUAAUAUUACACUGUACAUGCGGAUGCUUAUGAAUAGGUAUUGGAAUUGCAUAAACCAAUACUAUUAUGUAUUUCAUCAA